rnacentral:misc_RNA from 1 species
GACUGGGAAAGGACCGCACGAU